UUACCAUGCAAGUCGAACGCACUCUUCGGAGUGAGUGGCAGACGGGUGAGUAAUGCGUGGGAAUCUACCUAGUUCUACGGAAUAACAGUUGGAAACGACUGCUAAUACCGUAUACGCCCUACGGGGGAAAGAUUUAUCGGAAUUAGAUGAGCCCACGUAAGAUUAGCUAGUUGGUGAGGUAAUGGCUCACCAAGGCGACGAUCUUUAGCUGGUCUGAGAGGAUGAUCAGCCACACUGGGACUGAGACACGGCCCAGACUCCUACGGGAGGCAGCAGUGGGGAAUAUUGGACAAUGGGCGCAAGCCUGAUCCAGCCAUGCCGCGUGAGUGAUGAAGGCCUUAGGGUUGUAAAGCUCUUUCAGUGGGGAAGAUAAUGACGGUACCCACAGAAGAAGCCCCGGCUAACUUCGUGCCAGCA
rnacentral:rRNA from 1 species